GACAGAGGGGGCAAGCGUUGCUCGGAAUUACUGGGCGUAAAGGGCGCGUAGGCGGGAUGGCAAGUCGGUCGUGAAAUCCUUCGGCUCAACCGAAGAACGUCGAUCGAUACUGCUGUUCUUGAGGGUUGCAGAGGAGACUGGAAUUCCCGGUGUAGCGGUGAAAUGUGUAGAGAUCGGGAGGAACACCGGUGGCGAAGGCGGGUCUCUGGACAGUUCCUGACACUGAGGCACGAAGGCCAGGGGAGCAAACGGG
rnacentral:rRNA from 1 species